rnacentral:rRNA from 1 species
AUUGAACGCCGGCGGCAUGCCUUACACAUGCAAGUCGAACGGCAGCAUGAUCUAGCUUGCUAGAUUGAUGGCGAGUGGCGAACGGGUGGGUAAUACAUCGGAACGUGCCCUGUAGUGGGGGAUAACUAGUCAAAAGAUUAGCUAAUACCGCAUACGACCUGAGGGUGAAAGUGGGGGACCGCAAGGCCUCAUGCUAUAGGAGCGGCCGAUGUCUGAUUAGCUAGUUGGUGAGGUAAAGGCUCACCAAGGCGACGAUCAGUAGCUGGUCUGAGAGGACGAUCAGCCACACUGGGACUGAGACACGGCCCAGACUCCUACGGGAGGCAGCAGUGGGGAAUUUUGGACAAUGGGGGCAACCCUGAUCCAGCAAUGCCGCGUGUGUGAAGAAGGCCUUCGGGUUGUAAAGCACUUUUGUCCGGAAAGAAAUCGCACUUACUAAUAUUAGGUGUGGAUGACGGUACCGGAAGAAUAAGGACCGGCUAACUACGUGCCAGCCGCCGCGGUAAGAC